ACUUCGCACACGUCAAGUUUACCUCAAUGCUUUUUAGAGAUACAGCAUCAGCGAGGGGAAAUUGAACUUGUGAGGAAGUUUGUAACGUGCAUAUCCUUCUUUUACCCAUUAUAAUUUAGCAACAGCUUAGUCCUUCUUUCAGCAGCAGCAGUAGCAUUCAGCAGUAGCAUUCAGCAGCAGCAGUAUUCAGCAGCAGACAGCAGCAGAAAGAUCAGCAGCAGCAGCAGCAGUAGGAUUCAGCAGCAGCAGACAGCAGAAGACAACAAUACAACAACAACAGCAAUAGGAUUCAGAACAGCUCAACAAAAAGAAGAAGAAAGAUCAGCAGCAGCAGCCAGCAGCAUUCAGCAAUACAACAACAGCAAUAGGAUUCAGAACAGCUUAACAAAAAGAAGAAGAAAGAUCAGCAGCAGCAGUAGGAUUCAGCAGCAGCAGACAGCAAUACAACAACAGCAGCAAUAGGAUUCAGAACAGCUCAACAAAAAGAAGAAGAAAGAUAAGCAGCAGCAGACAGCAGACAGCAGACAGCAGCAUUCAGCAAUACAACAACAACGGCAAUAGGAUUGUGUAUUUCAAAAUGCCUACACCAGUGACUCUUUGUCAUUGUGAUUGGUUCACAAAUCUGGCACUUGCAACAAUAUAGUAAUCAGAAAUUGCGUUCUGAUUCAUGGUUACCAAAAAGAAGUAUGAUUGUCCAACAUGUAUGUCUAAGCUAGUAUAAUUUUGCUGCACAGUGUAUGAUCCUUCUGCUUCUGCCAAAAGUAAGUUAUGAUUUUGAAUUCUGAAGUUCAAGCUAGUUGAUAUUCCUACGUUGCUUACAUGAAUCCGGUAGGUUUUGCGUGCAGAAUCCUAAUAUUAGUAUUACAAAACAACAGAGAAAAGAAGUGUAUAAUAGACAAUGUAGUAGCACAAAUGAGGAUUGCAGUUCUAGAUAAAGGCGAAGUCAGGAAUUCUAAUAAGGGGUAGAAUAAUGCAAAAUGGUAAUCCUAGAAACUUCUCUUAUUACAAAGAAUACACACACGUGCACAUACAUGUACGUACAAGUUUGUUUUCACCCUACUUGCACAAUAUAGUUUUUGGACGAAGAGGAUUCAAUUGAACCUCCUUUCUUGCCUUUAGCUCCACCACUGGUCCCAAAUAAUCAUUAAUUUCUACAUACAGAUUCAUUAUUUCGCAGAAUCAUUUAGUUCAU
rnacentral:lncRNA from 1 species